rnacentral:misc_RNA from 1 species
CCUCCGUUUCACAAUGUAAGUCAUUCUAGCAUUUCCCACAUUCAUAUUGAUGGUAAUGAAUCUUUUAUUAACAUCAAUAUGAAUGUGGGAAAUGCUAGAAUGACUUACUUUGUGAAACGGAGGGAGUACA